rnacentral:rRNA from 1 species
UCGUUUAGUGGCGGACGGGUGAGUAACGCGUGGGUAACCUGCCCUGUACAGGGGGAUAACAGCUGGAAACGGCUGUUAAUACCGCAUAAGCGCACAGGAGCGCAUGCUCCGGUGUGAAAAACUCUGGUGGUACAGGAUGGACCCGCGUCUGAUUAGCUGGUUGGCGGGGUAACGGCCCACCAAGGCAACGAUCAGUAGCCGGCCUGAGAGGGUGAACGGCCACAUUGGGACUGAGACACGGCCCAAACUCCUACGGAAGGCAGCAG